rnacentral:rRNA from 1 species
GUGUCAGCAGCCGCGGUAAUACAGAGGGGGCAAGCGUUAUUCGGAAUUAUUGGGCGUAAAGGGCGCGUAGGCGGUCUGACAAGUGGAAGGUGAAAUCCCUCGGCUUAACCGAGGAACUGCCCUCCAAACUGUUUGACUUGAGUCCGGGAGAGGUGAGUGGAAUUCCCAGUGUAGCGGUGAAAUGCGUAGAUAUUGGGAGGAACACCAGUGGCGAAGGCGGCUCACUGGACCGGAACUGACGCUGAGGCGCGAAAGCGUGGGGAGCAAACAGGAUUAGAUACCCUGGUAGUCCACGCUGUAAACGAUGAGUGCUUGGUGUAGCGGGUAUCGACCCCUGCUGUGCCGAAGUUAACACAUUAAGCACUCCGCCUGGGGAGUACGGUCGCAAGGCUGAA